rnacentral:rRNA from 1 species
AUGUUUUACUACCAAGCAAGGGGUGGAGAGGUUAGGGACAAGAAGAGAAGGGGCGGCAGGGCCGCCUUCAGCCAUAAGACCGACUUCUGCUGCAUCCAGCAACCGAACGAUUCUCUUAAUGAUGGAUUCUAUGUCCUACAUCGCAUGCUGGAGUACAGACGGGAUCACCAGAACCUUCACAUGUCACCUAGAUUUGGCGAUGCCCAUAUUCUGCAACGGGCAAAGGACAUAGGAGAUAUCGAGGAUCAUCGACUUCGAGCUGAGUUCUAUAACAUCCAGCGCGAACUUGCCCAAUUCAUCAUGAAAGAGGUCGUCGGAAAAACAAGGAUGUUAUACGGAGGACAAAUGUCACGGGAAGACGUCCGAACAUGGAUAGCCUCUCAGUGUCUCGACAUGAAGCCUUUCACUAAGCUCGGGGACUAUCUCCGUGACCUCGAUGGAUGGCACGGCAUGUUGGAGUGA